UAAAUAAGAAGCAAACAAUUGCGUUUAGUUUCGACCUAAUAUUUUGAUUUUUAAUCCUUAUUU
rnacentral:tRNA from 1 species